rnacentral:rRNA from 1 species
GACGAACGCUGGCGGCGUGCUUAACACAUGCAAGUCGAGCGGUAAGGCCCUUUCGGGGGUACACGAGCGGCGAACGGGUGAGUAACACGUGGGUGACCUGCCCUCAGCUCUGGGAUAAGCCUGGGAAACCGGGUCUAAUACUGGAUAUGACUCCAUGACGCAUGUUGUGGGGUGGAAAGCCUUGUGCGGCUGAGGAUGGGCCCGCGGCCUAUCAGCUUGUUGGUGGGGUGANGGCCUACCAAGGCGACGACGGGUAGCCGGCCUGAGAGGGCGACCGGCCACACUGGGACUGAGACACGGCCCAGACUCCUACGGGAGGCAGCAGUGGGGAAUCUUGCGCAAUGGGACAAAAAGCCUGACGCAGCGACGCCGCGUGAGGGAUGACGG